rnacentral:lncRNA from 1 species
UUUGAAGAACAACGUAUUAGCAUUGCGAAAAAAAUGAAUUAUAAAUGUGUUGAUUGGAGGUAGCAGGUACUCGAUGGAAUAGUCAAGAUGUGCACAGAAGAUAUAUCACACCUCGUUUUUGUGGUGUCUGAAAUUUGAACUUCAUUGAAAGUGUCUGAAAGUUUUAUGAGAUUCUGGACUUGCUUAAAAAGGGAGUUCCCAUUUAAACAGUCAUUUUUCUAAAUCUGGAUGACUUUUUCAGCCGGCUGCUGAUCAGCAUAACAAUG